rnacentral:rRNA from 1 species
GUGGGGAAUCUUGCGCAAUGCGCGAAAGCGUGACGCAGCAACGCCGCGUGUGGGAAGACGGCCUUCGGGUUGUAAACCACUUUCAGUUGGGACGAAGCCUUGCCGGUGAAUAGCCGGUUGGGGUGACGGUACCUUCAGAAGAAGCCCCGGCUAACUACGUGCCAGCAGCCGCGGUAAUACGUAGGGGGCAAGCGUUGUCCGGAAUCAUUGGGCGUAAAGCGCGUGUAGGCGGCCAGGUAAGUCCGUUCUGAAAGCCCGGGGCUCAACCCCGGGAGGCGGAUGGAUACUGCUUGGCUCGAGUCCGGAAGAGGCGAGUGGAAUUCCCGGUGUAGCGGUGAAAUGCGCAGAUAUCGGGAGGAACACCAAUGGCGAAGGCAGCUCGCUGGGACGGUACUGACGCUGAGACGCGAAAGCGUGGGGAGCAAACAGGAUUAGAAACCCCAGUAGUCC